GACAUCCAAAUCCCUGGUUAUUGAUCAGUAUAGACUGCGUUGAGGCCUGGGUGCUUAGAUAACUGCCUAUGGUGUUGGGCACCUACCUUUUCACCUAUGGAGCUUCCUUUAAACAUAGUGAUAUCUGUACCGUCAGACAGAACAAGGAUAUGACAGAGUACGAAAGAAGGAAACAUAUUGAAACUGUGAAUCUGCUCUCACAGACAGAAUGGACCUUCAUCUGGAGCACUGACUCAUAAACCCUUCUCACUUGAGAA
rnacentral:lncRNA from 1 species